rnacentral:misc_RNA from 1 species
UCCGACUUAACGUCGGCAGUCUCUCCAGAGUGCCCGGCUUUCCCGUUGGCAACUGAAGACAGGGGUUGCGCUCGUUGCGGGACUUAGCCCAACACCUCACGGCACGAGCUGACGACAGCCAUGCAGCACCUGUGCUGGCUGCCCUUGCGGGCUCAUCCCCGUUUCCGGUUCUUAAUACCAGCAUGUCAAACCUGGGUAAGGUUCUUCGCGUUGCGUCGAAUUGAACCACAUGCACCACCGCUUGUGCGGGCCCCCGUCAAUUCCUUUGAGUUUCGGUCUUGCGACCGUACUCCCCAGGCGGAGUGUUUCACGCGUUAGCUGGGCCCCUGAUCCACGUAGACCAAGGGCGUACACUCAUCGUUUACGGCAUGGACUAC